UCACCCCUCCUUGUUUAUCCCGCCUAUAUACCACCGUCGUCAGCUUACCCUGCGAAGAUCCAACAGUAAGCACAAUUGGCACAGCCCAAAACGUCAGGUCGAGGUGUAGCGUAUGGAGGGGGAAGAAAUGGGCUACAUUCCCUACCUCAGGGAAUCACGAACGAUACUCUGAAAUAAGUAUCUAAAGGAGGAUUUAGCAGUAAGCAGAAAAUAGAGCGUUCCGCUGAAACCGGCCCUGAAGCGCGCACACACCGCCCGUCACUCUCCCCGAGCUUAAUAAACUCAACUAACUAAAACCCUGUAACUACAAAGGGGAGGCAAGUCGUAACAUGGUAAGUGUACCGGAAGGUGCACUUGGAAAAAU
rnacentral:rRNA from 1 species